GGAGGCGAUGGUUCACCUGCUGGUCGGUCUGUGGCUUUCUGUCAGAUUCAAAGUAAUAGAAGAGUCGGAGAAAGCUGAGAGCGGCGAGUGGAAACACUGAGGAGACACACAGGAGAGUUUGGGAGGCGAGCAGCAGUAUCAAGCCGAAGACAAGAGGAUAUGAACUAGACAACAUAUGAGGGAUGUCUGAGGGGGCGGAGCCAAAUCAUUACGACAUCAGACUCACCUGGACUGAUCACCUGAGAACUAUUUAACCUGCCACUCGGUCUGAUUGGUUCUUCUCUUCUGGUUUUAUCUGGUGUGUUUGUCCAACCUGCAGCUCAGGUCCCUCUCUAUCUCCCCACACAUCCACCAACCACUGGAACACAUCUCCAAAGUUCUGCUGGACCAGCUCAGCUUCCCCUCAGAAGAAGUGCCGCCACCUGCCAGAUGAAGGAGCCUUUUGAGAGGCAGCUGGCAUCGUGAUUGGACUGUACUUUGGUCUGUUCCAAUCCAGCUUCAGGUCCAGAGACGGGAGGCGGGACGAGUCAACGGAGGCCGGGUGGACGAAGGCAUGCAGCUGAGUACAAUCCAGAAAACAACAGAGGAGGAGUGUAGCGGCCCAGAGCCAGAACAACCAGAGUAGCAUCGUAUGUCUCUUAGAAAACAUCAUAGUAUAGCCUUUGCUAUGAAAAAACGGCAUCAUAUACAUCGUAUAUUGUACAAAUAACAAGUCAAAGGAAAGAGACAUACAUUGUAGAA